UCGGGAAUAUUGGACAAUGGGCGAAAGCCUGAUCCAGCCAUGCCGCGUGAGUGACGAAGGCCUUAGGGUUGUAAAGCUCUUUUGGCGGGGAAGAUAAUGACGGUACCCGCAGAAUAAGCUCCGGCUAACUUCGUGCCAGCAGCCGCGGUAAUACGAAGGGAGCUAGCGUUGUUCGGAAUCACUGGGCGUAAAGCGCACGUAGGCGGAUUUGUCAGUCAGGGGUGAAAUCCCGGGGCUCAACCUCGGAACUGCCUUUGAUACAGCAAGUCUUGAGUUCGAGAGAGGUGGGUGGAAUUCCUAGUGUAGAGGUGAAAUUCGUAGAUAUUAGGAAGAACACCGGUGGCGAAGGCGGCCCACUGGCUCGAUACUGACGCUGAGGUGCGAAAGCGUGGGGAGCAAACAGGAUUAGAUACCCCAGUAGUCCCUGAGCGGGCUGGCAAGGCGCAU
rnacentral:rRNA from 1 species